rfam:Schistosoma haematobium scaffold161_15, whole genome shotgun sequence.
GCACUGCUGAGGAGUCCUAUGAUGGGACGAAACGGCCGUCCAGUGC